UACGUAGGGCGCAAGCGUUGUCCGGAAUUAUUGGGCGUAAAGAGCUCGUAGGCGGCUUGUCACGUCGGGUGUGAAAGCCCGGGGCUUAACCCCGGGUCUGCAUUCGAUACGGGCAGGCUAGAGUGUGGUAGGGGAGAUCGGAAUUCCUGGUGUAGCGGUGAAAUGCGCAGAUAUCAGGAGGAACACCGGUGGCGAAGGCGGAUCUCUGGGCCGAUAUUGACGCUGAGGAGCGAAAGCGUGGGGAGCGAACAGG
rnacentral:rRNA from 1 species